CAUGUCUCAAUUCUCAAACCAAACCGUAGUCAAGUAAGACCGCAAUACAUGCAUUUAAACCAUAAAACAGAUAAAUCAGAUACUAUCAUACUUUUAGACUGUAAAAUAAAUCAACAGAGAACAGUUUCUGAUUCGGGCUCCACUAGAAUUCGUAAUUAAUUAUGCACAUCUAUUUAAUUUGUACAAAAUAUCGUAUUAUUACUUAUUUGAACUUCAAUUCUAUGAUAGGAAAUAGGGUGAGGGAUCC
rnacentral:lncRNA from 1 species